UACGUAGGUGGCAAGCGUUGUCCGGAUUUACUGGGUGUAAAGGGCGUGUAGGCGGAGCUGCAAGUCAGAUGUGAAAUCCCGGGGCUCAACCCCGGGACUGCAUUUGAAACUGUAGCCCUUGAGUAUCGGAGAGGCAGGCGGAAUUCCUAGUGUAGCGGUGAAAUGCGUAGAUAUUAGGAGGAACACCAGUGGCGAAGGCGGCCUGCUGGACGACAACUGACGCUGAGGCGCGAAAGCGUGGGGAGCAAACAGG
rnacentral:rRNA from 1 species